AGAGUUUGAUCCUGGCUCAGGACGAACGCUGGCGGCGUGCCUAACACAUGCAAGUCGAACGGAAAUAAGCUCUAAGCUUGCUUAGAGCGAGUUUUAGUGGCGUAACGCGUGGGUAACCUACCCAUAAACCCGGGACAACCCUUGGAAACGAGGGCUAAUACCGGAUAAUCUUAAGAGCUGGCAUCAGCUUUUAAGGAAAGGUGGCCUCUGUAUAUGCUACCGAUUAUGGAUGGACCCGCGUCUGAUUAGCUAGUUGGUGGGGUAAAGGCCUACCAAGGCGACGAUCAGUAGCCGGCCUGAGAGGGUGAACGGCCACACUGGGACUGAGACACGGCCCAGACUCCUACGGGAGGCAGCAGUGGGGAAUCUUCCGCAAUGGACGAAAGUCUGACGGAGCAACGCCGCGUGUAUGAUGAAGGUCUUCGGAUUGUAAAGCUCUGUUGAUAUUGGACGAACGAUUUCCCGUAAAUAAUGGGAAAGAAUGACGGUACAAUAAGAGGAAGCCACGGCUAACUACGUGCCAGCAGCCGCGGUAAUACGUAGGUGGCAAACGUUGUCCGGAAUUACUGGGCGUAAAGGGCGAGUAGGUGGUUUAUUAAGUCAAGAGUGAAAACUCCAGGCUCAACUUGGAGACUGCUCUACGAAACUGGUAGACUUGAGUGCAAGAGGGAAGUGGAAUUCCUAGUGUAGCGGUGAAAUGCGUAGAUAUUAGGAGGAACACCAGUGGCGAAGGCGACUUCCUGGCUUGUAACUGACACUGAGGCGCGAAAGCGUGGGGAUCAAACAGGAUUAGAUACCCUGGUAGUCCACGCCGUAAACGAUGAGUGCUAGGUGUCGGGGGUUAUCGACCCCCUCGGUGCCACAGCUAACGCAAUAAGCACUCCGCCUGGGGAGUACGGUCGCAAGACUGAAACUCAAAGGAAUUGACGGGGGCCCGCACAAGCGGUGGAGUAUGUGGUUUAAUUCGACGCAACGCGAAGAACCUUACCAAGGCUUGACAUCCUGUGACAGCUAUAGAAAUAUAGUCUUUAGUUUACUAAGACACAGAGACAGGUGGUGCAUGGUUGUCGUCAGCUCGUGUCGUGAGAUGUUGGGUUAAGUCCCGCAACGAGCGCAACCCCUACAGCUAGUUGCCAGCACGUAAAGGUGGGAACUCUAGACAGACUGCCGGUGAUAAACCGGAGGAAGGUGGGGAUGACGUCAAAUCAUCAUGCCCCUUAUGUUCUGGGCUACACACGUGCUACAAUGGCCAGUACAGACGGAAGCGAAGCCGCGAGGGUUAAGCGAACCCCUUAAAACAGGUCCCAGUUCGGAUUGUAGGCUGCAACUCGCCUACAUGAAGUCGGAAUCGCUAGUAAUCGCAGGUCAGCAUACUGCGGUGAAUACGUUCCCGGGCCUUGUACACACCGCCCGUCACACCACGAAAGUCUGCAACACCCGAAGCCGGUGAGGUAACCCGUAAGGGAGCUAGCCGUCGAAGGUGGGGCCGAUAAUUGGGGUGAAGUCGUAACAAGGUAACC
rnacentral:rRNA from 1 species